GACGAACGCUGGCGGCGUGCUUAACACAUGCAAGUCGAACGAAGUGGCGAACGGGUGAGUAACGCGUAAUCAACCUGCCCUUCAGAGGGGGACAACAGUUGGAAACGACUGCUAAUACCGCAUACUGCAGGGGGGGAUUGCGUCUGAUUAGCUAGUUGGAGGGGUAACGGCCCACCAAGGCGAUGAUCAGUAGCCGGUCUGAGAGGAUGAUCGGCCAAAUUGGGACUGAGACACGGCCCAGACUCCUACGGGAGGCAGCAGUGGGGAAUCUUCCGCAAUGGACGAAAGUCUGACGGAGCAACGCCGCGUGAGUGAUGACGGCCUUCGGGUUGUAAAGCUCUGUUAAUCGGGACGCGGUACCGGAAUAGAAAGCCACGGCUAACUACGUGCCAGCAGCCGCGGUAAUAC
rnacentral:rRNA from 1 species